AGCCACUGAUGACAAGCAACAUUUUUCUGCCGCCUCUUAUGAGACCUAAGCUCCUGAUUCAAACUGAGAUCUGAGACUC
rnacentral:snoRNA from 1 species